rnacentral:rRNA from 1 species
CGGCGUGGAUAAGACAUGCAAGUCGAACGGGAGAAUUGCUAGCUUGCUAAUAAUUCUCUAGUGGCGCACGGGUGAGUAACACGUGAGUAACCUGCCUCUUAGUGGGGGAUAGCCCUGGGAAACCGGGAUUAAUACCGCAUACGAUUGAAAGAUCAAAGCAGCAAUGCGCUAGGAGAUGGGCUCGCGGCCUAUUAGUUAGUUGGUGAGGUAACGGCUCACCAAGGCGAUGACGGGUAGCCGGUCUGAGAGGAUGUCCGGCCACACUGGAACUGAGACACGGUCCAGACACCUACGGGUGGCAGCAGUCGAGAAUCAUUCACAAUGGGGGCAACCCUGAUGGUGCGACGCCGCGUGGGGGAAUGAAGGUCUUCGGAUUGUAAACCCCUGUCAUGUGGGAGCAAAUUAAAAAGAUAGUACCACAAGAGGAAGAGACGGCUAACUCUGUGCCAGCAGCCGCGGUAAUACAGAGGUCUCAAGCGUUGUUCGGAAUCACUGGGCGUAAAGCGUGCGUAGGCUGUUUCGUAAGUCGUGUGUGAAAGGCAGGGGCUCAACCCCUGGAUUGCACAUGAUACUGCGAGACUAGAGUAAUGGAGGGGGAACCGGAAUUCUCGGUGUAGCAGUGAAAUGCGUAGAUAUCGAGAGGAACACUCGUGGCGAAGGCGGGUUCCUGGACAUUAACUGACGCUGAGGCACGAAGGCCAGGGGAGCGAAAGGGAUUAGAUACCCCUGUAGUCCUGGCAGUAAACGGUGCACGCUUGGUGUGCGGGGAAUCGACCCCCUGCGUGCCGGAGCUAACGCGUUAAGCGUGCCGCCUGGGGAGUACGGUCGCAAGAUUAAAACUCAAAGAAAUUGACGGGGACCCGCACAAGCGGUGGAGUAUGUGGCUUAAUUCGAUGCAACGCGAAGAACCUUACCUGGGCUUGACAUGUAAUGAACAACAUGUGAAAGCAUGCGACUCUUCGGAGGCGUUACACAGGUGCUGCAUGGCCGUCGUCAGCUCGUGUCGUGAGAUGUUUGGUUAAGUCCAGCAACGAGCGCAACCCCUGUUGCCAGUUACCAGCACGUCAAGGUGGGGACUCUGGCGAGACUGCCCAGAUCAACUGGGAGGAAGGUGGGGACGACGUCAGGUCAGUAUGGCCCUUAUGCCCAGGGCUGCACACGUACUACAAUGCCCAGUACAGAGGGGGCCGAAGCCGCGAGGCGGAGGAAAUCCUGAAAACUGGGCCCAGUUCGGACUGUAGGCUGCAACCCGCCUACACGAAGCCGGAAUCGCUAGUAAUGGCGCAUCAGCUACGGCGCCGUGAAUACGUUCCCGGGUCUUGUACACACCGCCCGUCACAUCAUGGAAGCCGGUCGCACCCGAAGUAUCUGAAGCCAACCGCAAGGAGGCAGGGUCCUAAGGUGAGACUGGUAACUGGGAUGAAGUCAUAA